rnacentral:rRNA from 1 species
GAUGAACGCUGGCGGCGUGCCUAAUACAUGCAAGUCGAGCGAACAGACGAGGAGCUUGCUCCUCUGACGUUAGCGGCGGACGGGUGAGUAACACGUGGAUAACCUACCUAUAAGACUGGGAUAACUUCGGGAAACCGGAGCUAAUACCGGAUAAUAUAUUGAACCGCAUGGUUCAAUAGUGAAAGACGGUUUUGCUGUCACUUAUAGAUGGAUCCGCGCCGCAUUAGCUAGUUGGUAAGGUAACGGCUUACCAAGGCAACGAUGCGUAGCCGACCUGAGAGGGUGAUCGGCCACACUGGAGCUGAGACACGGUCCAGACUCCUACGGGAGGCAGCAGUAGGGAAUCUUCCGCAAUGGGCGAAAGCCUGACGGAGCAACGCCGCGUGAGUGAUGAAGGUCUUCGGAUCGUAAAACUCUGUUAUUAGGGAAGAACAAAUGUGUAAGUAACCAUGCACGUCUUGACGGUACCUAAUCAGAAAGCCACGGCUAACUACGUG